rnacentral:pre_miRNA from 1 species
CAUGUACUCCCUCCGUUCCACAAUACAUGCCUUUCAUUUGUCAAAAUAUAGAUGUAUCUAGACAUGUUUUAGUAUAUAGGUACAUCCAUUUUUGGACAAAUGAAAGUCAAGUAUUUUGGAACGGAGGGAGUAGAAG